rnacentral:tRNA from 2 species
UUGGGGCGUGGCCAAGUGGUAAGGCAACGGGUUUUGGUCCCGCUAUCCGGAGGUUCGAAUCCUUCCGUCCCAGA